rnacentral:rRNA from 1 species
AUUGAACGCUGGCGGCAGGCCUAACACAUGCAAGUCGAACGAGUGGCGGACGGGUGAGUAAUGUCUGGGAAACUGCCUGAUGGAGGGGGAUAACUACUGGAAACGGUAGCUAAUACCGCAUACCAUCGGAUGUGCCCAGAGGGGAUUAGCUAGUAGGUGGGGGAAUGGCUCACCUAGGCGACGAUCCCUAGCUGGUCUGAGAGGAUGACCAGCCACACUGGAACUGGGACACGUUCCAGAAUCCUACGCGAGGCAGCAGUGGGGAAUAGUGCACAAUGGGCGAAAGCCUGAUGCAGCCAUGCCGCGUGUGUGAAGAAGGCCUUCGGGUUGUAAAGCACUUUCAGCGAGGAGGCGUUACUCGCAGAAGAAGCACCGGCUAACUCCGUGCCAGCAGCCGCGGUAAUAC